ACUCUCUCUCGCAACUUUGAAGA
rnacentral:snRNA from 1 species